AACAGGAUUAGAUACCCUGGUAGUCCACGCCCUAAACGAUGUCUACUAGUUGUCGGGUCUUAAUUGACUUGGUAACGCAGCUAACGCGUGAAGUAGACCGCCUGGGGAGUACGGUCGCAAGAUUAAAACUCAAAGGAAUUGACGGGGACCCGCACAAGCGGUGGAUGAUGUGGAUUAAUUCGAUGCAACGCGAAAAACCUUACCUACCCUUGACAUGGGUGGAAUCCUGAAGAGAUUUGGGAGUGCUCGAAAGAGAACCAUCACACAGGUGCUGCAUGGCUGUCGUCAGCUCGUGUCGUGAGAUGUUGGGUUAAGUCCCGCAACGAGCGCAACCCUUGUCAUUAGUUGCUACGAAAGGGCACUCUAAUGAGACUGCCGGUGACAAACCGGAGGAAGGUGGGGAUGACGUCAAGUCCUCAUGGCCCUUAUGGGUAGGGCUUCACACGUCAUACAAUGGUACAUACAGAGGGCCGCCAACCCGCGAGGGGGAGCUAAUCCCAGAAAGUGUAUCGUAGUCCGGAUUGGAGUCUGCAACUCGACUCCAUGAAGUUGGAAUCGCUAGUAAUCGCGGAUCAGCAUGUCGCGGUGAAUACGUUCCCGGGUCUUGUACACACCGCCCGUCACACCAUGGGAGCGGGUUUUACCAGAAGUGGGUAGCCUAACCGUAAGGAGGGCGCUCACCACGGUAGGAUUCGUGACUGGGGUGAAGUCGUAACAAGGUAACC
rnacentral:rRNA from 1 species